rnacentral:sRNA from 1 species
CCAACAGAAUCGUACGAGUUGUGUAUGUGAUAAACGCCUUUGGGGAUGACUAAUCAGCGUUUACAUUUAUUUUUGAAUCAUCCGAUUCGAAAAUACGUACAACCAUAUGAGCACACUCAUUUGGAUACUGUUUUUUUUAUCGCUUGCUAAUAAUAAAGCUAUUUGCUUCCUCUUUUUGGGUACAUUUCCACGGGAAAUCAAUCAAAUCGGGGGUGUGAUAUCAGCACCUGACCAUGGGGUGGGGGCACCAAAGGCUGAGCCCCAAGUGGUUCCCGCCCGCGUGACAAUUGACAGAAAUCGUAUGUUAUGGAAGUAAACUCCCCUCUCCUCAAAUAUCAUCUAAUGUCUGGCUUCAAUUUGAUACUAAAACAAUAAUUUGUGGGAUUGAGUGCUUCCUUCGGCGUGCAAGACGAGAAAUAAUGAUACCAGCCAAGUGUCAAAUUGUCUAAAUUCCUAGUAAUUGGCAUGAUUCGAAUAGAAUCUUUGUGUUGCAAUGCGGGCCUCUGAACUUUCAAAAGAAACAAUAGCAAUGCCUCCGUUUCGAAUAUCUACAAUUCUGAAGUAAUCGUCUACAUUGUUUCUUUGCGGCUCAAUGCGGGUCAGCUUUCGUCUUGGAUCCUUGUGUCAUUUCAGUGGAAUAUCUCCCCAGUUGGAUUGAGAAUCAAGUGCAAUGGGGAUUUGUAGUUACAUAUCAAGAAAACAAGGGAAGGAAAUAAAACAGUAACUUUAUUAUUUAUAGA